rnacentral:rRNA from 1 species
CCUACGGAGGCAGCAAUUAGGAAUCUUGCGCAAUGGGGGCAACCCUGACGCAGCGACACAGUGUGGAGGAGGAAGGUCUACGGAUUGUAAACUCCUUUUAUGCGGGAAGAAUAGAUGACGGUACCUCAUGAAUACGCACCUGCUAACUACGUGCCAGAAGCAUCGGUGAUGCGUAGGGUGCGAACGUUAUCCGGAUUUAUUGGGCGUAUAGAGACGCGUAGGUGUUUUUGUAAGUCUUUAGUUAAAUACCACGGCUCAACCGUGGAGAAGCUUUGGAAACUACAAAAAUUGAGACAGGAAUGGGCGAAUGGAAUUCCCAGUGGAGCGGUGAAAUGCGUUGAUAUUGGGAGGAACAUCAGUGGCGAAGGCGAUUCGCUGGUCCUUGUCUGACACUAAGGCUCGAAAGCGUGGGGAGCGAAAC